rnacentral:rRNA from 1 species
ACGAACGCUGGCGGCGUGCCUAAUACAUGCAAGUAGAACGCUGAAGAGAGGAGCUUGCUCUUCUUGGAUGAGUUGCGAACGGGUGAGUAACGCGUAGGUAACCUGCCUUGUAGCGGGGGAUAACUAUUGGAAACGAUAGCUAAUACCGCAUAACAAUGGAUGACACAUGUCAUUUAUUUGAAAGGGGCAAUUGCUCCACUACAAGAUGGACCUGCGUUGUAUUAGCUAGUAGGUGAGGUAAUGGCUCACCUAGGCGACGAUACAUAGCCGACCUGAGAGGGUGAUCGGCCACACUGGGACUGAGACACGGCCCAGACUCCUACGGGAGGCAGCAGUAGGGAAUCUUCGGCAAUGGGGGCAACCCUGACCGAGCAACGCCGCGUGAGUGAAGAAGGUUUUCGGAUCGUAAAGCUCUGUUGUAAGUCAAGAACGGGUGUGAGAGUGGAAAGUUCACACUGUGACGGUAGCUUACCAGAAAAGGACGGCUAACUACGU